CUGCACAAACUUAAGGCCGUAUGUACUGUCUUUGUUGUGUUCUGAGUCAGAACAUACUGUGUUUCAUUGAACUCACAGUCUCUUGGGAGAACUUUGUAGACUGGGUCUAUGAAAGAACAAAAAAAAAAAACAUGAAUUAACAGAGUUGGCGGCCAAAGCAGAGGAAUGUGGAUGAGUCUUCCUGAUGAAUAUUAUUGGCUGGAGGAACCUAAAUCAGAGCUGGGAGUAUGGAUGCAGAAAGAUGCGUGAAAGAUCUCAGACACCGGACGCCCCGUUGAGUCUUCGCUCGACAAAAUACCCCCACGUCCACAACAGCCGAUGGGAGGAAAAACUGAAGGUGAAACUGCUUUGCACAGACGAGUGAACGAAAGCGCUUCUACAGACUUCUUCUGAAGGUAAAUAUCAAAUUUAAAGGUUUAUGAGAGAUUGGUUGUAAACAGAAUCGG